rnacentral:rRNA from 1 species
GAUGAACGCUGGCGGCGUGCCUAAUACAUGCAAGUCGAGCGAACAGACGAGGAGCUUGCUCCUCUGACGUUAGCGGCGGACGGGUGAGUAACACGUGGAUAACCUACCUAUAAGACUGGGAUAACUUCGGGAAACCGGAGCUACUACCGGAUAAUAUAUUGAACCGCAUGGUUCAAUAGUGAAAGACGGUUUUGCUGUCACUUAUAGAUGGAUCCGCGCCGCAUUAGCUAGUUGGUAAGGUAACGGCUUACCAAGGCAACGAUGCGUAGCCGACCUGAGAGGGUGAUCGGGCACACUGGAACUGAGACACGGUCCAGACUCCGACGGGAGGCAGCAGUAGGGAAUCUUCCGCAAUGGGCGAAAUCCUGACGGAGCAACGCCGCGUGAGUGAUGAAGGUCUUCGGAUCGUAAAACUCUGUCAUUAGGGAAGAACAAAUGUGUAAGUAACUAUGCACGUCUUGAAGGUACCUAAGCAGAAAGCCACGGCUAACUACGUG